rnacentral:ribozyme from 1 species
GUCGAACAACGGGCUUGAGCCAAAAUGGCUACGGAA